rfam:Magnetococcus sp. MC-1, complete genome.
CUACCGGCAUCGAGAGGUGCUGGGAUGGGUGUGCAGAAGUCAGCCGAGGGCAUAGUAGGGGUAUCGACCACCCUGAAGGCC